UACGGAGGGGGCUAGCGUUGUUCGGAAUUACUGGGCGUAAAGGGCUCGUAGGCGGCCAACUAAGUCGGAUGUGAAAUCCCCAGGCUUAACCUGGGAACUGCAUCCGAUACUGGAUGGCUUGAAUCCGGGAGAGGGAUGCAGAAUUCCAGGUGUAGCGGUGAAAAUGCGUAGAUAUCUGGAGGAAUACCGGUGGCGAAGGCGGCAUCCUGGACCGGCAUUGACGCUGAUGAGCGAAAAGCUAGGGGGAGCAAACGGGGAU
rnacentral:rRNA from 1 species